rnacentral:rRNA from 1 species
UACGAAGGGGGCUAGCGUUGCUCGGAAUCACUGGGCGUAAAGGGUGCGUAGGCGGGCCUUUAAGUCAGAUGUGAAAUCCUGGAGCUCAACUCCAGAACUGCCUUUGAUACUGAGGAUCUUGAGUACGGGAGAGGUGAGUGGAACUGCGAGUGUAGAGGUGAAAUUCGUAGAUAUUCGCAAGAACACCAGUGGCGAAGGCGGCUCACUGGCCCGUUACUGACGCUGAGGCACGAAAGCGUGGGGAGCAAACAGG